rnacentral:rRNA from 1 species
UACGUAGGGUCCGAGCGUUGUCCGGAAUUAUUGGGCGUAAAGGGCUUGUAGGCGGUUUGUCGCGUCUGCUGUGAAAAUCCGGGGCUCAACCCCGGACUUGCAGUGGGUACGGGCAGACUAGAGUGUGGUAGGGGAGACUGGAAUUCCUGGUGUAGCGGUGAAAUGCGCAGAUAUCAGGAGGAACACCGAUGGCGAAGGCAGGUCUCUGGGCCACUACUGACGCUGAGAAGCGAAAGCAUGGGGAGCGAACAGG